rnacentral:rRNA from 1 species
CCUACGGGAGGCUGCAGUCGAGAAUCUUUCGCAAUGGGCGCAAGCCUGACGAAGCGACGCCGUGUGUGUGAAGAAGGCCUUCGGGUCGUAAAGCACUUUCGCCUGAGAACAAGAGAGACGAGCUAAUAUCGCGUUGAUUUGAGAGUAUCAGGUAAAGAAGCACCGGCUAACUCCGUGCCAGCAGCUGCGGUAAUACGGAGGGUGCAAGCAUUAAUCGGAAUUAUUGGGCGUAAAGGGCGCGUAGGCGGAAUAUUAAGUCAGAUGUGAAAUCCCAGAGCUUAACUUUGGAAUAGCAUUUGAAACUGGUAUACUAGAGGGUAGGCGGAGAGAACGGAAUUCCACAAGUAGCGGUGAAAUGCGUAGAUAUGUGGAAGAACACCAGUGGCGAAAGCGGUUUUCUAGCUUAUGCCUGACGCUAAAGCGCGAAAGCAAGGGGAGCA